AACGAACGCUGGCGGCAUGCCUAACACAUGCAAGUCGAACGCUUCCGGGGGUUUCGGUCCUCCGGGGGAGGUGGCGCACGGGUGAGUAGCGCGUGGGAACCUGCCCUGUUGUGGGGGAGUAACCGAGGGAAACUUCGGCUAAUACCGCAUACGCCCGAGGAGUGAUCUUCGGGGAAAGAUUUAUCGCAGCAGGAGGGGCCCGCGUCGGAUUAGCUGGUUGGUGGGGUAACGGCCCACCAAGGCGAUGAUCCGUAGCGGUCUGAGAGGAUGAUCAGCCACACUGGGACUGAGACACGGCCCAGACUCCUACGGGAGGCAGCAGUGGGGAAUAUUGGACAAUGGGGGCGAACCCUGAUCCAGCAAUGCCGCGUGAGUGAUGAA
rnacentral:rRNA from 1 species